AAAAUAAUUUUACAGACUCGGUCGACAGGAAUCAGACAGAAGACGCUCCACAACAGCAGAUACCAUGGAGAAAUAUGACCAUCAUAUCUGUCCUGCUGAAUGUGCUUCUGAUCAUUGCAUUAAUAGGUUUGCUGAAGAUUUUAAUUGAUGCAACUGGAAAAUCUGCUGCUCAAAACUCGAAUAAUCCACAGUGUGCUGAAGAUGAUUUCUUCAUGUGCUCCAGAAACACCAGACCUAGUCAGGAGCAGACCACUACUGUCUACAGACAAUGUACCAUGUGAUACACGUUAGGAAUAUAAAGUGUACCUACAUAUAUAUAUUUUUUUACAAUCUAAAAUUUACCGUUAUUAUGUUUUAAAUAUGUGGAUUUUAAUUUCCAUUUCCAUUCAUGAGUUUUCUGCUUUGUAUGUAAAUAUGCAGUGUGUAUGAUAGUAACACUUUAUUCUGGUGCU